rnacentral:lncRNA from 1 species
AAUACCCAAAUCAACGACCAAUGAGAGCUAGAUGCGUGGACACAAUAUGGCAUAUGCGGGAAAGCCCUCAGCACCCUGGCCUCCCGACAAUAGUAAAUGUCAACAGUCCCACAUUGAAAUUCUACACGAGUUGCACACCUCCCAAAGCUUAUAAAGGGGGGUACAAUUCCCAAAAGGGGGGUAAGCUGAUCUUUUGGCAUCCUGCCCUUAGAUCUGUUCGAUUCUCUUACUAAAUCCAUACUUACUUAAGUAUCGGAGAGCCUUCA